GAGAGAGAGAGAGAGAGAGAGAGAGAGAGAGAGAGAGAGAGAGAGAGAGAGAGAGAGAAAGAUGGCUACAGUGGCGGCGAGCGGAGUGCAGCAAGAGAAUGGCUUCAGCACCGCGAACAGCUCCAGCAGAAUGAACGGCAUUGCAAUCGGUCAGAGCCCCAUUCCCAUGAAGGACCACGACGCCAUCAAGCUGUUCGUGGGUCAAAUCCCACGCAACCUGGAAGAGAAAGACCUCAAGCCGCUCUUUGAGGAAUUCGGCAAGAUCUACGAACUCACCGUGCUCAAAGACAGAUUCACGGGAAUGCAUAAAGGAUGUGCCUUUCUAACUUACUGUGCCAGGGAGUCUGCACUGAAGGCCCAGAGUGCUCUCCAUGAGCAGAAGACUCUGCCUGGGAUGAACCGGCCCAUCCAGGUGAAGCCAGCAGACAGCGAAGGACGGGGAGAAGACCGGAAGCUCUUUGUGGGGAUGUUGGGGAAGCAGCAGAGCGAGGAGGACGUCCGCAGGCUCUUCGAGACGUUUGGCCAGAUUGAGGAGUGCACCGUGCUCCGGGGGCCUGAUGGGGCCAGUAAGGGCUGUGCCUUUGUCAAGUUUUCCAGCCAUGCAGAAGCGCAGGCAGCCAUCAAUAGCCUGCAUGGAGGCCAGACCAUGCCGGGUGCGUCCUCCAGCCUGGUAGUGAAGUUUGCCGACACGGAUAAAGAGCGAACCCUGCGCCGGAUGCACCAGAUGGCAGGACAGCUUGGCAUCUUCAGCCCCAUGACUAUCCAGUUCGGGGCCUACGGAGCCUACACACACGCUCAGAUGAUGCAGCAGCAGGCAGCAAUCAUGGCAGCCACACAGGGCUCCUAUCUCAACCCCAUGGCGGCCAUCGCAGCCGCUCAGAUGCAGCAAAUGGCAGCUUUCAAUGUCAACGGCCUGGUGGCUGCCCCGAUGACGCCCUCUUCAGGCACCAGCACACCUCCAGGCAUCAGUGCCACAGCAGUGCCCAGCAUCGCUGCUCCAAUCGGGGUUAAUGGCUUCAGCGCACUGCCUCCUCAAAGCAAUGGCCAGCCAGCCACUGAACCUAUUUACACCAAUGGAAUCCACCCCUAUCCAGCACAGAGUCCUACAGUGACCGACCCUCUCCAGCAAGCAUACGCCGGCGUGCAACACUAUGCAGCAGCCUAUCCUGCCGCCUAUGCGCCAAUCAGCCAAGCGUUUCCCCAGCAACCGACCAUCAUCCCCCAGCAACAGCGUGAAGGGCCUGAAGGCUGUAACCUGUUUAUCUACCACCUGCCGCAGGAGUUUGGGGACGCUGAGCUCAUGCAGAUGUUUCUGCCCUUUGGCAACGUCAUCUCUGCCAAAGUCUUCGUGGACCGGGCCACCAAUCAGAGCAAGUGUUUCGGCUUUGUCAGCUUUGAUAACCCAUCCAGUGCUCAGGCUGCCAUUCAGGCAAUGAAUGGUUUUCAGAUUGGCAUGAAGAGACUUAAGGUCCAGCUUAAGAGGCCAAAAGAUGCCAAUCGCCCUUAUUGAUUGCACCAACAUCCACAUCCAGCAUGGCAUGACCAAAGGUAGCUCGAGGUGGCCACCCUGUUGACUAGCUACAUGUCUACGGUCAGGGGGAAACAGUUCCCACGGCUGAAGAAGGAUGACAACACCUUAUUUUCACAAGUGCAGUAUAAGUACAAAAGACUUCUUCUCCGCUCUGCCACACGAAAGAAGAGUGGUCCCUUGAUUCUGUGGGAAAACCGUCAAGAGAUGUGAGACUAGAUGAAUGAAGAAACAAGGAGGGAUUUUCUUUUCCGUUUUUUUCUUGGCUAAAUAUUUCCUUUUUUUAUUUCCUCGCUUUGGCAUCGCAAAACCUGUGGAAGCCGAUUUUUGCAGAGACCAACUUUUUUGCUGCUGUUUUUUUAGACAAGAUGGAGAAAUAUUUAUAGAUACAUUAUGCUCAAAGCAUGCAUACACAGAUAUACAAUCACACAUGCAGUUAAAUACACGUAUCUAUCUCACACAAACGCGCGCACACAUGCAAAACUACACAAAUUUACAGACACAAACCCUUUGCACUUAGGCUGAUGCAUAAAUGCACUGCAGAAACUUCAUAUUUUGGAUACUGGUUAAUACUAAUAUGUCUAUUUGUAAAUCCAUAUGAUGCUCACACAUGCGCUCACACACACAGACAUGCAUACACACAGACACACACACACACACACACACACACACACACACACACACACACACACACACACACACACACACACACACACACCAGCCUGCUGCCAUUUUGGUUUUCGUGCCUAUACAGGUGUUGUAGUCUGUGCCAGGGAAAGCUCUGGAGAGAUGGAAAAGAAAAUGGUAAUCCAGGAUUAUUUACAUGCAUCAUUCCUUAGAAAAUAGGGACCAAAGGACUACAUGCUUUUUAAAAAUAUAUAAAUAUAUAA